GAUGAACGCUGGCGGCGUGCUUAACACAUGCAAGUCGAACGGGAAACCUUUUAUUGAAGCUUCGGCAGAUUUAGCUGGUUUCUAGUGGCGGACGGGUGAGUAACGCGUGGGUAACCUGCCUUAUACAGGGGGAUAACAACCAGAAAUGGUUGCUAAUACCGCAUAAGGGCACAGGACCGCAUGGUCCGGUGUGAAAAACUCCGGUGGUAUAAGAUGGACCCGCGUUGGAUUAGCUAGUUGGCAGGGUAACGGCCUACCAAGGCGACGAUCCAUAGCCGGCCUGAGAGGGUGAACGGCCACAUUGGGACUGAGACACGGCCCAGACUCCUACGGGAGGCAGCAGUGGGGAAUAUUGCACAAUGGGGGAAACCCUGAUGCAGCGACGCCGCGUGAAGGAAGAAGUAUCUCGGUAUGUAAACUUCUAUCAGCAGGGAAGAUAGUGACGGUACCUGACUAAGAAGCCCCGGCUAACUACGUG
rnacentral:rRNA from 1 species